rnacentral:rRNA from 1 species
UCGAGAAUCUUUCACAAUGGGGGCAACCCUGAUGGAGCGACGCCGCGUGGAGGAUAAGGUCUUCGGAUUGUAAACUCCUGUCAUGCGAGAACAAGGUUGUAGAGUUAAUAGCUUUGCAAAUUGAUGGUACCGCAAGAGGAAGAGACGGCUAACUCUGUGCCAGCAGCCGCGGUAAUACAGAGGUCUCAAGCGUUGUUCGGAAUCACUGGGCGUAAAGGGUGCGUAGGUGGCGUGGUAAGUCAGAUGUGAAAGCCCGGGGCUCAACCUCGGAAUUGCAUCCGAUACUGCCGUGCUAGAGUACUGAAGAGGUGACUAGAAUUCUCGGUGUAGCAGUGAAAUGCGUAGAUAUCGAGAGGAAUACCAACGGCGAAGGCAGGUCACUGGGCAGUUACUGACACUGAGGCACGAAGGCCAGGGGAGCAAACGGGAUUAGAUACCCCCGUAGUCCCUGAGCGGGCUGGCAAGGCGCAU